rnacentral:rRNA from 1 species
GGAUGAAUGCUGGCGGCGUGGAUAAGGCAUGCAAGUCAAGGGGGCCCCAGAUUUAUUUCUAGGGCAACCGGCAGACGAGGUAGUAAUAUACAGGUACUCACCGAGAAGUCGGGCAUAGCUAUCCGAAAGGGUAGGUAAUUCCCGAUAGUCCCCUUUGGAUAAAACCUUGGGGGUAAAGGCGCAAGCCGCUUUUUGAGAGGCCUGUACAGCAUCAGCUAGUUGGUAAGGUAAUGGCUUACCAAGGCUAUGACGCUUAGGGGAGCUGAGAGGCUGACCCCCACCGAUAGCACUGAGACACGGGCUAUACAUCUACGGAUGGCUGCAGUCAAGAAACUUCCACAAUGGACGAAAGUCUGAUGGAGCGACGCCGCGUGGUUGAUGAAGUCCUUCGGGACGUAAAGACCUUUUAUGAGGGAGGAAGUAAUUGACGUUACCUCAUGAAUAAGGGGCUCCUAACUCUGUGCCAGCAGGAGCGGUAAUACAGAGGCCCCAAGCAUUAUCCGGAAUCACUGGGCGUAAAGGGUGUGUAGGCGGUUGUAUUAGUCUUUCGUGAAAGCUCUCGGACUUAAUCCGGGAAACGCGGCAGAAACGGUACAACUACGAGGAUGCGAGAGGUAUAUGGAACUCAUGGUGUAGGGGUGAAAUCCGUUGAUAUCAUGGGGAACACCAAAUGCGAAGGCAAUAUACUGGCGCACUCCUGACGCUGAGACACGAAAGCGUGGGAAUCGAAAAGGAUUNNAUACCCUGGUAGUCCACGCCGUNNNCGAUGAGAACUUGACGUCGGUUUGCUCUGCGAAUCGGUGUCGU